rnacentral:misc_RNA from 1 species
UCUCCGUAGGUGAACCAGCGGAAGGAUCAUUACCGAAUUUACAAGUUCUACUCUCCCUGUCGAUCAUACGGAAGUGUUCACUUAGCGGCGUUAAGCCCCUGUCAACACCCGUCCACCGUUACAGGGGGGCAACUGAGUAAGCUUCUUACGUCCUUCUGAGGUAUACCCUUGUUUCUUAUUCAUACUCUUAAUGUCUAUUAGAAUGUACUAUGGAAGCAAUUCUAUAAAAUAUAAACAACUUUUAACAACGGAUCACUUGGCACUCGCUUCGAAGAAGAA